UUGGUAAAUGUGAGCCAAGGAUGACUUGCCGGUUGUUGUGUAAUAUCACUCGGUAAAGUCUUUCUUGGCUCUUAUUUACUAUUU
rnacentral:pre_miRNA from 1 species